rnacentral:rRNA from 1 species
GAUGAACGCUGGCGGCGUGCCUAAUACAUGCAAGUCGAGCGAACAGAUGAGGAGCUUGCUCCUUUGACGUUAGCGGCGGACGGGUGAGUAACACGUGGAUAACCUACCUAUAAGACUGGGAUAACUUCGGGAAACCGGAGCUAAUACCGGAUAAUAUAUUGAACCGCAUGGUUCAAUAGUGAAAGACGGUUUUGCUGUCACUUAUAGAUGGAUCCGCACCGCAUUAGCUAGUUGGUAAGGUAACGGCUUACCAAGGCAACGAUGCGUAGCCGACCUGAGAGGGUGAUCGGCCACACUGGAACUGAGACACGGUCCAGACUCCUACGGGAGGCAGCAGUAGGGAAUCUUCCGCAAUGGGCGAAAGCCUGACGGAGCAACGCCGCGUGAGUGAUGAAGGUCUUCGGAUCGUAAAACUCUGUUAGUAGGGAAGAACAAAUGUGUAAGUAACUAUGCACGUCUUGACGGUACCUAAUCAGAAAGCCACGGCUAACUACGUG